rnacentral:snRNA from 1 species
UUGCUCGCUUCAGCAGCACAUAUACUAAAAUUGGAACGAUACAGAGAAGAUUAGCAUGGCCCCUGGGCAAGGAUGACACACAAAUUCGUGAAGCGUUCCAUAUUUAA